CAGCAGAGGAGCUUUUCCUGGAAAAACCAAGCUGGAAGGAAGAAGGGAAGAUGGCAGAAAGAAGAUGUUAUUUACUUCUUGGCAGUGAGGCCAGCUGAGGAAGGGCCUGUGCGGUAGUGGAUAUUUAUUCUUAUUUGUGGAACAUGGGAAGUGAGUGCUCAGUAUGAGUAGAUGGAAACAUGACUGGCAGAGGAAGCCUCCCAGCCUGGGCAGUGGGACUCCUGGACAAUAUGAAGAGAGAUGCUGUGGACGAGAAUACCAUCUACAGGUCAAAGAGUGCUUGGAGCAGACUCUCCUCACAGCUGUCAGGAGGGACACCUGUUCACACCUUGAUCUCUGACUUCUGGCCUCCAGAACUGUCACCAAGAGCUCGUUUGUGAUGAUCUGAGACCAUGCAAUGCAGACAGUCUUCCAGGAACACCAGAGCAAAAUUAGAUGUGGCUGCGUCUCUGCCAUGUAUGUGCAGCUGUGGUAGCAGCUCUGACCACG